CAUAUUUGCUUAGCGACAUGAUACAUACUUGCAAUGAGCACGGUGCCUGUGUUUACUAUAAAAAGCAACAGCCCAUGCUUGGUUAGGUUAGGCCCACUACAACAUGCAGGCAUGGGUGAUUGGCGCUUUUAUUUCUGUGUCGUGAGGUUUAUUGACGUGCGUAUAGGUGCAGUGGCACGCAGUAUGGCUAGUACAAAAAAGGGGGGGGGAGGCAGAUAUAUGUAGCUCACUGUACAUGACACAGGGCAAAGGAAAUCCGUGUUCAGCAACUAUGUUAAAUGCCAUGUACGUAAAUUUUACAACGCUACUCGUUCGAAGCGCGCACAGGUGCAUAUUGAAGAAAAGUUUCCAGGGUAGAUAAUUUAGUUCGUAAUUUACACUAAUUUUGCUUAACCACGAGACAUAAUAAUUUGAAUAUACUGCACGGAAAAACCUAGAGCGAAUUAAAUUGUGUGUCAGCUUCGUGUGUAUACAUAUAGUCUUUCCUAUGCAUUAGGUUUUUUGCGUAAUGCAUUAACAGUUGACAGCCUAUCUUAUGAUGUGUACUCUGUUUACAUUACAGUUGUUUAUUAGUUUACUCGUUUGUUUUGCGACUGAUGAAAUGCCGGCAUAUAUAUAUUUUCAACAUUUGACAUAACCCUGUAUGUUUUGCAGGGACAACCCAGGACGUGCAUUUCUCAGCACCCAGUCAACUGCUAAAAGUGACUCAAACACAGGCCACCAGUGGAACUCGGCUGUACCACUGCAGUGCUGCGGAAAUUGCCUUCACCAGCGGCUUUGCAACAGCUGUUUCGCAGCAUGUCGGAGACAAUGCCUACGAAAUUAUUGGCCCUGAUCAUGACAGAUGACACGGCAGCAAUAGAUACAGAGACUGCCAUGUCUACUGCAGCUGCAACAGUGUACGAGGCAAGCAGCAGUGCGUCAGCAGCAGUGUCAGAAGGAACCACACCAGGCCUGGUAGAGCAACAUGUGUGCUUCACUGACUUUUUUUGUAGUGGAUACAACUCAUUUGCUCAACAUACAAAAGCUUUUCACCACGACUGUGAGCCAGUGUUAUUGUGCAGAAAGUGCAAGACUAAGUUAGGUGUUAUAACACAGUACAAGCAUCACUUUAAUAUAUGCAAAUGCAAACAUAUUACAGUUGUUGCCUCCCCAGCCAGCCCACAUAGUGACAACAAUGUGGAACACAUGGUGGGACACACCUCUCCCCCAUUACAAGAUAGUAGAGACUGUCAGUGUUGUUGCUAGAUUGACUGGUCUUUGUAGGCAACUAGAAGGACAACACAGGUGUCAUAAGAUUGUUGUUGAUGUUGUUGAAGAGGUAAACAAGAAGUUUGAUGCAGCUGAAGUGCCAACUGAUAUUGAGCAAAUCAAAAGCAACCACCUGAGAAAGCAACACUAUCGAAAUUUGGGUAUCUAUGUGCCGCCAACUCUGGUAAGAAUGGCAUAGGACAGAAGUGUGAUGAAAAUCACACAGACACUGCUGUUGCAUCACUGGCCACAGUGAGCAGCGACUUGUAGGGCAAGAGAGUCAACUGAAACUAACAUUAUGAUAUCAUGCUCCCAUGUGACCACUUUUCAAGUUAUUUUGCAAGAUACAGCUCAACCUCCAGAAACGAGACUGCAACUUGUCUGUAAAAAAGCUUUCACAAAAAAUUAUUCAUAACACUAUUAACAUAGCAGUAUCUUUUUUUUUUGUGUGUGUCGGUUCGAGGUUCCCGGCUGUCCAUUGAUGCAAAAAUUGAGGAAAAAAAGAACAUGUGUCGUACUUACACCUUUUUAACAAGUACGAGGGGGACAGAACUUUUCUAGUCAUGCAUCUUCAUCAUACUAUCAAGUUUUUAAAUGCCUUUUAUAAUUAUUAUUACCAGUUAUAUCUGAGGGCAUUGUAUGCAUGUAGCAGGUGUAAAAUCGGGUCAGUUGGAUCAGAUGCCUUAUCUGCAAGCGAGCCCUAUAUUCAGGAAAUUUGAAUUAAAAUAGUUACGUUAGAGACGCAGUCUUUCAGCACUUUAUUGCCUGUGGUUUAAGCAUUGCUCAAUACUUUUGUGGGUGGCAAUUUCAACUGGCACAGCACUGCGCUUUGCCACAGUCACAUUUGUCUUCCAAGCGGUGUUUACCAUUUGUGUUGAUCUGUUUGUGUAUGCAUAGAGCAAGUUUUAAAUUUAUAUUUUUCUGCAUUCUUCUGCUUGCACUAAGCUUGUAUAAGGCAGUUACAAAAUGUGCGUCACUAUAACAAACUGUUCUGUUUAGCUUACACUUGCAAAUAAUCGUGUUCAGAUGGCCGCACUUCUAUGCGGGUGCACCGCUAGCUUUGUGUAUGUUCUCAUGUUUGUAUAAAGCUUAUAUAAGCUAGUUAGAAAAUGUAUGUCACUAAGCAUUGUGAUAUUCUUUAAAGAACUGCUUGGUUGGUUUUACACUUGUGAAUUAGUAUUGAGGCGGUGGUAUUCCCAUGUAUGCCCACUGCUAGCUUUCUGUGUCCUCACGUGUUUGUAUUAAGUUUCUACAAGGGAGUUACAGCAUGUACGUCACUAAGCGCUGUGAUAUUUUUUAAAGAACUGCUUUGUUGGUUUUACACCUGUGAGUAAUAGUACUCGGGUGGCACUAGUCAUGUGUAGGUACACAGGGACCAUUUGUAUACAUUAUGCUCAUGUAAAGCAGUUACAAAGUGUAUGUCACUAAUUACUGUGACAUUUGUUGAAUUGCUGUGAUGGUUUUACACAUGUGAAUAAUAGUGGUCAGGACACAGUACUUGCGGUGUAUAGUUGAAUUUAUACACUGCCAAGACAUGGGCUGUAUACGUACGAAAAGAAAUGUAUGUCAUUAUAUUGUUGUGAUUAUUACUGUUUGGAUUUUAUUAAACUGUAAUAAAAUUGUUUCUUGUAUCUA